UACAGGGGGUGCAAACGUUGCUCGGAAUUAUUGGGCGUAAAGCGCGCGUAGGCGGCUACUUAAGUCGGAUGUGAAAGCCCUUGGCUCAACUGAGGAAGUGCACCCGAAACUGAGUGGCUUGAGUACUAAAGAGGGUCGCGGAAUUCCCGGUGUAGAGGUGAAAUUCGUAGAUAUCGGGAGGAACACCGGUGGCGAAGGCGGCGACCUGGGUAGAUACUGACGCUGAGGCGCGAAAGCGUGGGGAGCGAACCGG
rnacentral:rRNA from 1 species